rnacentral:rRNA from 1 species
CGCGAAACUUCUAUAAGAGGUCCAGCCUGCCCAGUGACAUUUUUAAACGGCCGCGGUACCCUGACCGUGCGAACGUAGCAUAAUCACUUGUUCUUUAAAUGGGGACUAGUAUCAACGGCAUCACGAGGAUUUUACUGUCUCCUUUCUCUAAUCGGUGAAACUGAUCUCCCCGUGAAGAAGCGGGGAUAAAACUAUAAGACGAGAAGACCCCAUGGAGCUUUAAACCCAGUGACAUCUCAAACACUCCGCCCCCCAAAAGUUUUUAUGCAUUGUCUACUGGUUUUAGGUUGGGGUGACCGCGGAGUAUAACCUAACCUCCACAGCGCACGAAGCUUCCUUCUUAUCCAAGAGCUACAUCUCUAAGAAUUAAUAUAUUGACGUAAGAUGAUCCAAUAAUCUUGAUCAAUGAACCAAGUUACCCUGGGGAUAACAGCGCAAUCCAUUUCUAGAGCCCCUAUCGACAAAUGGGUUUACGACCUCGAUGUUGGAUCAGGGUAUCCCAGUGGUGCAGCCGCUACUAAUGGUUUGUUUGUUCAACAAUUAAAACCCUACGUGAUCUGGAUUUCAGACGGGGG